rnacentral:Y_RNA from 1 species
GUCUGGUUGGGAGGUAGUAAAUUAUCUCGAUUAUUCACAAUCAGUUACAGAUCGAACUUCUUGUUUCUCCUUCCUUUCUCCUUCCUUCUCACUAUUGCACUUGACUAGAAAAA